GCUGCGAUAGCUCAGUCGGUAGAGCAUGAGCCUCUUAAUCUCAGAAUCAUGGAUUUGAGCCCCAUGUGGGGUA